rnacentral:rRNA from 1 species
AACGAACGCUGGCGGCAUGCCUAACACAUGCAAGUCGAACGCGUGGAGCGAUCCACGAGUGGCGCACGGGUGAGUAACGCGUGGGAACCUGCCCUGGAGUGUGGGAUAACCCGGCGAAAGCCGGGCUAAUAUCGCAUACGACCUGAGGGUGAAAGAUUUAUCGCUCUAGGAGGGGCCCGCCUCGGAUUAGCUAGUUGGUGAGGUAAUGGCUCACCAAGGCGAUGAUCCGUAGCUGGUCUGAGAGGAUGAUCAGCGACACUGGGACUGAGACACGGCUCAGACUCUUACGGGCGGCAGCAGUGGGGAAUAUUGGACAAUGGGGGCAACCCUGAUCAAGCAAUGCCGCGUGGGCGAUGAAGGCCUUCGGGUUGUAACGCCCUUUUGCACGCGACGAUGAUGACGGUAGCGUGAGAAGAAGCCCCGGCUAACUUCGUGCCAGCAGCCGCAGUAA